AGAGUUUGAUCCUGGCUCAGAUUGAACGCUGGCGGCAUGCCUUACACAUGCAAGUCGAACGGCAGCACGGAGCUUGCUCUGGUGGCGAGUGGCGAACGGGUGAGUAAUAUAUCGGAACGUACCCUAGAGUGGGGGAUAACGUAGCGAAAGUUACGCUAAUACCGCAUACGAUCUAAGGAUGAAAGUGGGGGAUCGCAAGACCUCAUGCUCGUGGAGCGGCCGAUAUCUGAUUAGCUAGUUGGUAGGGUAAAAGCCUACCAAGGCAUCGAUCAGUAGCUGGUCUGAGAGGACGACCAGCCACACUGGAACUGAGACACGGUCCAGACUCCUACGGGAGGCAGCAGUGGGGAAUUUUGGACAAUGGGCGAAAGCCUGAUCCAGCAAUGCCGCGUGAGUGAAGAAGGCCUUCGGGUUGUAAAGCUCUUUUGUCAGGGAAGAAACGGUGGGAGCUAAUAUCUCUUGCUAAUGACGGUACCUGAAGAAUAAGCACCGGCUAACUACGUGCCAGCAGCCGCGGUAAUACAUAGGGUGCAAGCGUUAAUCGGAAUUACUGGGCGUAAAGCGUGCGCAGGCGGUUUAUGUAGUCUGAUGUGAAAUCCCCGGGCUCAGCCUGGGAAUUGCAUUGGAGACUGCAAGGCUAGAAUCUGGCAGAGGGUGGUAGAAUUCACGUGUAGCAGUGAAGUGCGUAGAUAUGUGGAGGAACACGAUGGCGAAAGCAGCCCCCUGGGUCUAGAUUGACGCUCAUGCACUAAAACGUGGGGAGCAAACAGGAUUA
rnacentral:rRNA from 1 species